GACGAACGCUGGCGGCGUGCUUAACACAUGCAAGUCGAACGGAAAGGCCCUGCUUUUGUGGGGUGCUCGAGUGGCGAACGGGUGAGUAACACGUGAGUAACCUGCCCUUGACUUUGGGAUAACUUCAUGAAACUGGGGCUAAUACCGGAUAGGAGCUCCUGCUUCAUGGUGGGGGUUGGAAAGUUUCGGCGGUUGGGGAUUGACUCGCGGCUUAUCAGCUUGUUGGUGGGGUAGUGGCUUACCAAGGCUUUGACGGGUAGCCGGCCUGAGAGGGUGACCGGCCAAAUUGGGACUGAGAUGAGGCACAGCCUACUACGGGAGGCAACAGUGGAGAAUGUUGCACUAUGGGAGGGAGCCUGAUGCAGCAAAGCCGCGUGCGGGAUGAGGGCAUUGGGGUUGUAAACCGAUUUCGCCUGUGCCGAAGCGUGAGUGACGGUAAUGGGUAAAGAAGCCCCGGCUAACUACGUG
rnacentral:rRNA from 1 species